AUAAGCUCUGGUGUGCAACAGGUUGGAGAAGCGAUCAUAAAAAUAGUUGCGUGGAAUUCAACAUGAAACCCGUUUUGAUUGCAGCGUUUUUUAACAUCUUGUCCACAUCUCUUCAGGGAGAAAAUCUGGGUUCUUUAAGUCCAGCUCAUAUUUACAGUGGUGGAGUGAGCAAAGUGAAUGAAGACGAGAGCGUCAUGUUUAAGUGUAAAGCUGAUAAUAUAACAGGAAGCACAAUCCAUAUGUACCUUUUCAAAAAUGGUGAGAGAGUCAAAAUGGAGGCUUUUGAAUCUUCAUCAAUAGAUGAUACGACAUUUUACAUGACCAAUGUCACUGCAGAAGAUUCUGGAUUGUACACAUGCCUUUACUCUGAAAAGAAACUUGGUGACAGUAAGACCACUGCAACAGGACACAACUCCGUCUCACUCCAGGUUUUGGGCAAAAUAUUACCGGCGAAGAUUAAAAGAACAGAAAUGACAAUAAAAAAAGAAGAGACUUUGACACUGACCUGCACCUUUACAAAAAUUCAAAGCUGUUCUCAAGUCUACGUUUAUCUCUGUUUCAACGGGAUCGGAAACAGAAAGAAGCAGGUGAACUGUAGCGAUAUGACCACUUCCACAACGUUUCUCCUUAGUAACGUUUCAGAAAAAAGCUCUGGCAACUACAGCUGUGUGUAUUCAGUGUCUAACUACAGUCUCAGUGAGGUGAACAAUACAGGAGAAAACACCAUCUUUGUUCACAUCCAUGAAAAAGACGACGUUGAUGCUGUGAGUGUAAUAAUUAGUGUUUCGGUUGCUGCAAUAGUGGUUCUGUUGGUUCUGUUGGUUCUGUUGAGAUUCUGCUGGUACCGCGAUAUUAUUUCAUUCAGGGCGUGCCAAGAUCCUGCUUUAAGAAACCCUCCAAACAUUGAGCCUUUCUACUAUGAGAUCACGGCAGGUAUUUUCCCCUGCUUUAUCCAACCCUAUCAAUAUUUUAUUCUCAUAUCAAA
ensembl:lncRNA